GCUGGCGGUAUGCUUAACACAUGCAAGUCGAACGGUGUCUUCGGACAUAGUGGCGGACGGGUGAGUAACGCGUGAGAAUCUGGCUUCAGGAUGGGGACAACAGUUGGAAACGACUGCUAAGACCCGAUGUGCCUUAGGGUGAAAUAUUUAUAGCCUGAAGAUGAGCUCGCGUCUGAUUAGCUAGUUGGGGAGGUAAAGGCUCACCAAGGCAGCGAUCAGUAGCUGGUCUGAGAGGAUGACCAGCCACACUGGGACUGAGACACGGCCCAGACUCCUACGGGAGGCAGCAGUGGGGAAUUUUCCGCAAUGGGCGAAAGCCUGACGGAGCAAUACCGCGUGAGGGAGGAAGGCUCUUGGGUUGUAAACCUCUUUUCUUAGGGAAGAAAAAAAUGACGGUACCUAAGGAAUAAGCAUCGGCUAACUCCGUGCCAGCAGCCGCGGUAAUACGGAGGAUGCAAGCGUUAUCCGGAAUGAUUGGGCGUAAAGCGUCCGCAGGUGGCGAUUCAAGUCGAUUGUCAAAGGUCUCGGCUCAACUGAGAACAGGCAGUGGAAACUGAACAGCUAGAGUGCGGUAGGGGUAGAGGGAAUUCCCGGUGUAGCGGUGAAAUGCGUAGAGAUCGGGAAGAACACCAGUGGCGAAAGCGCUCUACUAGACCGCAACUGACACUCAGGGACGAAAGCUAGGGGAGCGAAUGGGAUUAGAUACCCCAGUAGUCCUAGCCGUAAACGAUGGAUACUAGGCGUUGCUUGUAUCGACCCAAGCAGUGCCGUAGCUAACGCGUUAAGUAUCCCGCC
rnacentral:rRNA from 1 species